GUUCGGCUGAAACGAAAGAAAUCGUGAUAUCGAGAUUCGAAUUUAUUCAGCCGGUACGCCGCAACAUUAUGCCUGUACGUUCGCAAUCACGUCCCACUUUGGAAAUACGCGAUAGCCUUUGAGACACGUUCGAAAACAAUUUGUAUUCCGAAUACAAAUGACUGGCCAGAUAUGGAAUCAAAACAAUACUAGCUUUUUAUAUCGCCCACGCAACGCUUUCCAUUGGCGGGAGACCGUUCCCGAUUGCACUCGACGCAACAUUGCGACAACACAGAGAUAAGAUUGCGAAACAGGACGCCUGUUGUCGUUUUUAUAACCAGGAAACUAGUCGUAACGCACAAAUAGAACGUCGUCUACGAGAAUUCGACAAAAGUCUACGACAGGGGUUCCCAAUUCACAACCACUGGGGUUAUCCUUUUGAUUGUCGAGCGAUUUAUGCGGAGGUCGAUUGGAGAUUUAUGUCUAUUCCGAAAAAAAAUGACAGGACAGUUGAGCACUCCCGGUACUACAGGCG